rnacentral:rRNA from 1 species
UGAGGAAUAUUGCGCAAUGGGGGAAACCCUGACGCAGCAACGCCGCGUGGGUGAAGAAGGCCUUCGGGUCGUAAAGCCCUUUCGGACGGGACGAACGCUUCGCGGGGACAAUCCGCGAAGCUUGACGGUACCGUAAGAAGAAGCACCGGCUAACUCCGUG